rnacentral:rRNA from 1 species
GACGAACGCUGGCGGCGCGCCUAACACAUGCAAGUCGAACGGAGUUGCAUUGAAAGCUUGCUGGAUAUGUAACUUAGUGGCGGACGGGUGAGUAACACGUGAGUAAUCUGCCUUCCAGAGGGGAAUAACGUUUGGAAACGAACGCUAAUACCGCAUAACGUGCGGUCCUCGCAUGGGGACUGUACCAAAGAUUUUAUCGCUGGAAGAUGAGCUCGCGGCCGAUUAGGUAGUUGGCGAGAUAACAGCCCACCAAGGCGACGAUCAGUAGCCGGACUGAGAGGUUAAACGGCCACAUUGGGACUGAGAUACGGCCCAG